rnacentral:rRNA from 1 species
UACGUAGGGUGCAAGCGUUGUCCGGAAUUACUGGGCGUAAAGGGCUCGUAGGCGGCCAACUAAGUCAGACGUGAAAUCCCUCGGCUUAACCGGGGAACUGCAUCUGAUACUGGAUGGCUUGAGUUCGGGAGAGGGAUGCGGAAUUCCAGGUGUAGCGGUGAAAUGCGUAGAUAUCUGGAGGAACACCGGUGGCGAAGGCGGCAUCCUGGACCAAUAUUGACGCUGAGGAGCGAAAGCCAGGGGAGCAAACGGG